rnacentral:rRNA from 1 species
GACGAACGCUGGCGGCGUGCCUAAUACAUGCAAGUAGAACGCACAGUUUAUACCGUAGCUUGCUACACCAUAGACUGUGAGUUGCGAACGGGUGAGUAACGCGUAGGUAACCUGCCUGGUAGCGGGGGAUAACUAUUGGAAACGAUAGCUAAUACCGCAUAAUAUUAAUUAUUGCAUGAUAAUUAAUUGAAAGGUGCAAUUGCACCACUACCAGAUGGACCUGCGUUGUAUUAGCUAGUAGGUGAGGUAACGGCUCACCUAGGCGACGAUACAUAGCCGACCUGGGAGGGUGAUCGGCCACACUGGGACUGAGACACGGCCCAGACUCCUACGGGAGGCAGCAGUAGGGAAACUUCGGCAAUGGACGAAAGUCUGACCGAGCAACGCCGCGUGAGUGAAGAAGGGUUUCGGAUCGUAAAGCUCUGUUGUAAGGGAAGAACGGGUGUGAGGGUGGAAAGUUCACACUGUGACGGUAUCUUACCAGAAAGGGACGGCUAACUACGUG